rnacentral:sRNA from 1 species
UUAUUUUCGUCAGCGCGCUGUCUGAGAGGAGUUUUUAGGCGUUAUGGUUCGGUACGCAGUAAUGAACUGCGGAUUUUGGCUGAUCUGGAGGAAAAGUGAAAGAUCUAAUCAACGUUAUACUGUGAGUAAUGAUAACAAGAUUUUAUUCUCAAACUGUGGGAAAAUCAUUUAACACACAAACAAUGUGUCUUUUACUACCCCAUUAGCCGACUGAGGAGUUUAUAUGGAUACGAAUCUGAAAAUGUCAUUGAUUACUACCAUUGGAUCGCUGGCUGUGAUUAUUAUCUUCAGCUUGACCGCGGUAAUGAAUUAAAUU